CAGCUUCAUUAUGUUAUUACCUUUCUGCCUCCCACCUACAAAGAUGAAGAAGAUGAGGAGGAAGAAGAAAAAGAUAUUCGUAGAGAACUGACUGCUUUGCACAAAUGUGCUUGUUCCCUGGAGACCAACGAGAAAGAAUGUGGCAGCAUCUGUAAUUGUCAGAAUGGAGGCACUUGUGAUCUUCUGACUAGACUGUCCCAAGGGUACCUGCGGAGCUGGCUGCUCUUCAGAAUGUCAGUGUGUGGAGGAGAACACCCUGGAAUGCAGUGCCAAAAAUGGUAGUUGCAUCUGCAAAUCUGGUUACCAAGGCAACAGAUGCCAGAAAGAUGGCCUCUGGGGACCAGAGUGCUGGCUCUCCUAUGUGCCCUGUGAAAAUGGAGGUCAGCGCAACAGAAAAACUGGAAGUUGUGACUGCACUCCUGCUUACACAGGAAAAUCCAGUACC
rnacentral:lncRNA from 1 species